UGAGGAAUAUUGGUCAAUGGGCGGGAGCCUGAACCAGCCAAGCCGCGUGAGGGAGGAAGGCCCUAUGGGUCGUAAACCUCUUUUGUCAGGGAACAAAAGCGAAUAUGUAUACUAGUCUGAGUGUACCUGAGAAAAAGCAUCGGCUAACUCCGUGCCAGCAGCCGCGGUAAUACGGAGGAUGCGAGCGUUAUCCGGAUUUAUUGGGUUUAAAGGGUGCGUAGGCGGCGGUGCAAGUCAGCGGUAAAAGCCCGGGGCUCAACCCCGGCGAGCCGUUGAAACUGCAGUGCUAGAGAAGGCGAGAGGUACGCGGAAUGCGCAGUGUAGCGGUGAAAUGCUUAGAUAUUGCGCAGAACUCCGAUUGCGAAGGCAGCGUACUGGCGCCUGACUGACGCUGAGGCACGAAAGCGUGGGGAUCGAACAGGAUUAGAUACC
rnacentral:rRNA from 1 species